GGUUAAGCGACUAAGCGUACACGGUGGAUGCCCUGGCAGUCAGAGGCGAUGAAGGACGUGCUAAUCUGCGAAAAGCGUCGGUAAGGUGAUAUGAACCGUUACAGCCGGCGAUGUCCGAAUGGGGAAACCCAGUGCAAUUCGUUGCACUAUCGUUAACUGAAUACAUAGGUUAACGAGGCGAACCGGGGGAACUGAAACAUCUAAGUACCCCGAGGAAAAGAAAUCAACCGAGAUUCCCCCAGUAGCGGCGAGCGAACGGGGAGCAGCCCAGAGUCUGAAUCAGCUUGUGUGUUAGUGGAACGGUCUGGAAAGUCCGACGGUACAGGGUGAUAGUCCCGUACACCAAAAUGCACAGGUUGUGAACUCGAAGAGUAGGGCGGGACACGUGGUAUCCUGUCUGAAUAUGGGGGGACCAUCCUCCAAGGCUAAAUACUCCUGACUGACCGAUAGUGAACCAGUACCGUGAGGGAAAGGCGAAAAGAACCCCGGCGAGGGGAGUGAAAAAGAACCUGAAACCGUGUACGUACAAGCAGUGGGAGCACCUUCGGGUGUGACUGCGUACCUUUUGUAUAAUGGGUCAGCGACUUAUAUUCUGUAGCAAGGUUAACCGUAUAGGGGAGCCGCAGGGAAACCGAGUCUUAACUGGGCGUUAAGUUGCAGGGUAUAGACCCGAAACCCGGUGAUCUAGCCAUGGGCAGGUUGAAGGUUGGGUAACACUAACUGGAGGACCGAACCGACUAAUGUUGAAAAAUUAGCGGAUGACUUGUGGCUGGGGGUGAAAGGCCAAUCAAACCGGGAGAUAGCUGGUUCUCCCCGAAAGCUAUUUAGGUAGCGCCUCGUGAACUCAUCUUCGGGGGUAGAGCACUGUUUCGGCUAGGGGGUCAUCCCGACUUACCAACCCGAUGCAAACUACGAAUACCGAAGAAUGUUAUCACGGGAGACACACGGCGGGUGCUAACGUCCGUCGUGAAGAGGGAAACAACCCAGACCGCCAGCUAAGGUCCCAAAGUCAUGGUUAAGUGGGAAACGAUGUGGGAAGGCACAGACAGCCAGGAUGUUGGCUUAGAAGCAGCCAUCAUUUAAAGAAAGCGUAAUAGCUCACUGGUCGAGUCGGCCUGCGCGGAAGAUGUAACGGGGCUAAACCAUGCACCGAAGCUGCGGCAGCGACACUAUGUGUUGUUGGGUAGGGGAGCGUUCUGUAAGCCUGCGAAGGUGUGCUGUGAGGCAUGCUGGAGGUAUCAGAAGUGCGAAUGCUGACAUAAGUAACGAUAAAGCGGGUGAAAAGCCCGCUCGCCGGAAGACCAAGGGUUCCUGUCCAACGUUAAUCGGGGCAGGGUGAGUCGACCCCUAAGGCGAGGCCGAAAGGCGUAGUCGAUGGGAAACAGGUUAAUAUUCCUGUACUUG
rnacentral:rRNA from 1 species